rnacentral:rRNA from 1 species
UACGUAGGCAGCGAGCGUUGUUCGGAGUUACUGGGCGUAAAGGGUGUGUAGGCGGUUGUUUAAGUUUGGUGUGAAAUCUCCCGGCUCAACUGGGAGGGUGCGCCGAAUACUGAGCGACUAGAGUGCGGGAGAGGAAAGUGGAAUUCCUGGUGUAGCGGUGAAAUGCGUAGAUAUCGGAAGGAACACCAGUGGCGAAAGCGGCUUCCUGGUCCAGCACCGACGUUCAGGCACGAAAGCGUGGGGAGCAAACAAG